AUACGGAGGGUGCAAGCGUUGUUCGGAAUCACUGGGCGUAAAGCGCACGUAGGCUGACUUAUAAGCCAGCUGUGAAAGCCCGAGGCUCAACCUCGGAAUUGCAGUUGGAACUGUGAGCCUCGAAUGCUCGAGAGGGUGGGGGAAUUCCUGGUGUAGAAGUGAAAUUCGUAGAUAUCAGGAGGAACACCGGAGGCGAAGGCGCCUGCCUGGCGAUGCAUUGACGCUGAGGUGCGAAAGCGUGGGUAGCAAACAGGAUUAGAUACCCCAGUAGUCC
rnacentral:rRNA from 1 species